AUUGAACGCUGGCGGCAGGCCUAACACAUGCAAGUCGAACGGUAACAGGAAGCAGCUUGCUGCUUCGCUGACGAGUGGCGGACGGGUGAGUAAUGUCUGGGAAACUGCCUGAUGGAGGGGGAUAACUACUGGAAACGGUAGCUAAUACCGCAUAACGUCGCAAGACCAAAGAGGGGGACCUUAGGGCCUCUUCCCAUCGGAUGUGCCCAGAUGGGAUUAGCUAGUAGGUGGGGUAACGGCUCACCUAGGCGACGAUCCCUAGCUGGUCUGAGAGGAUGACCAGCCACACUGGAACUGAGACACGGUCCAGACUCCUACGGGAGGCAGCAGUGGGGAAUAUUGCACAAUGGGCGCAAGCCUGAUGCAGCCAUGCCGCGUGUAUGAAGAAGGCCUUCGGGUUGUAAAGUACUUUCAGCGGGGAGGAAGGGAGUAAAGUUAAUACCUUUGCUCAUUGACGUUACCCGCAGAAGAAGCACCGGCUAACUCCGUG
rnacentral:rRNA from 1 species